GACGAACGCUGGCGGCGUGCCUAAUACAUGCAAGUAGAACGCUGAAGAGAGGAGCUUGCUCUUCUUGGAUGAGUUGCGAACGGGUGAGUAACGCGUAGGUAACCUGCCUUGUAGCGGGGGAUAACUAUUGGAAACGAUAGCUAAUACCGCAUAACAAUGAGUGACACAUGUCAUUUAUUUGAAAGGGGCAAUUGCUCCACUACAAGAUGGACCUGCGUUGUAUUAGCUAGUAGGUGAGGUAACGGCUCACCUAGGCGACGAUACAUAGCCGACCUGAGAGGGUGAUCGGCCACACUGGGACUGAGACACGGCCCAGACUCCUACGGGAGGCAGCAGUAGGGAAUCUUCGGCAAUGGGGGCAACCCUGACCGAGCAACGCCGCGUGAGUGAAGAAGGUUUUCGGAUCGUAAAGCUCUGUUGUAAGUCAAGAACGAGUGUGAGAGUGGAAAGUUCACACUGUGACGGUAGCUUACCAGAAAGGGACGGCUAACUACG
rnacentral:rRNA from 1 species